AUAUACCCUAAAUUGGUCUGAC
rnacentral:snRNA from 1 species